GACGAACGCUGGCGGCGUGCCUAAUACAUGCAAGUCGAACGCUUCUUUCCUCCCGAGUGCUUGCACUCAAUUGGAAAGAGGAGUGGCGGACGGGUGAGUAACACGUGGGUAACCUACCCAUAAGAGGGGGAUAACACUUGGAAACAGGUGCUAAUACCGCAUAACAGUUUAUGCCGCAUGGCAUAAGAGUGAAAGGCGCUUUCGGGUGUCGCUGAUGGAUGGACCCGCGGUGAAUUAGCUAGUUGGUGAGGUAACGGCUCACCAAGGCCACGAUGCAUAGCCGACCUGAGAGGGUGAUCGGCCACACUGGGACUUAGACACGGCCCAUACUCCUACGGUAGGCAGCAGUAGGGAAUCUUCGGCAAUGGACGAAAGUCUGACCGAGCAACGCCGCGUGAGUGAAGACGGUUUUCGGAUCGUAAAACUCUGUUGUUAGAGAAGAACAAGGACGUUAGUAACUGAACGUCGCCUGACGGUAUCUAACCAGAAAGCCACGGCUAACUACGUG
rnacentral:rRNA from 1 species